rnacentral:lncRNA from 1 species
GACGCAUUGACUGGUUUAGCUUUAUGAUGUCUGGUUCAGCCAAGUGAAGCCAUCUCCCCUAACAUCGGCAGCCUCUCCACACUGGUGAGUAAACAGCGUGGGCAGGUCCAUGCCUUGGUUUUCAUUGUUUGCAUCCAAUUGGAGAAAACAAGGAAAAUGUGUUUUCAUGAAGCUAAAUGUGUUCAAAGUAAAAGAACUGUUUCUUACUUUAAGAUAAUAUCUUUGUGGGUUAGGGUUGUAGCUCAGGGGUAGAGCAUUUGCCUAGCAAGUAUGAAGCCCAGGGUUUGAGCCUCAGCAUCACAUUAAAUAAAUAAAUAAAUAAAUAAGUUUUAUCCAUCUACAACUAAAAAUAUAUUUAAUUUUUUUUAAAAGACAAUAUCCUUUCCACUACCUAGGUUACAAGCUCCAUUCUUUUGGGAAAAUAUGGUAAAAAUAGACUAUUAUUUAUUUGUUUAUUCCUUUGCAGUAAAAUGAAGAAACCCUAUGUUCCUCCCCCUUCCAAUGUUACUUAUGUGACACUGCUUCAUUAUAAACACAUUAGCCAUGGGUCACAGUUCAAUAAGGAGAUAGAGACAGCACAUUCCUUCCUGGCCAUACCAGUUUGGCAAAAUGUUCUGCUCCCUUUGGAACUUCAAAAGGUGCUGUAGGAUCACAACGGAGCUUCACGUCCAUCACUGUACCUAUCCACCCUCCUGAUUGGAAGCAUCUUUGCCUAGAGACUACUGCCUUGCUCUCCUUCUGGCACUGAUGAUCCACACAGCGUUGAGCAUGCUGUUGGUACACUGUGUCUUGCAGUUGGAUGUACAUCACAGGUGAAAUGGAGGAACAGCUCAUGGAAUCAAGGAAACAUUUCCCACCUAAGUUCUGCAGACCUGAUCAGCAUCCCUGUUCUGUCACAUAACAGCAGUGAACAGCUAUCCUCUCCCAUUCCAAUUUCUUGUGUAUAAAAUACAAACCUGUCCUAACUUCUGUAAAGUAGGACUACUUCCUGAGCCCUCCACUAGAUCCUGGCUGUAUUGUCAUAUGACCCAUCAUGUGGAAGAACCCAUGUGUGUGUCUUCAUUACUUCCAAAUUUCUUAUUCUUGGACUGGAUGCUCUGCCUAUCUGCACAUUUCACCUUUCCCAGAGGGUUCCACCGAGGAAAGGCCAGAUCUCCCAACCCAAAGAGGUGGCAGGCCAGAGGCAGCUGCCAGAAUGCUUCAAUUAAAC